GGGGAAUAUUGCACAAUGGGCGGAAGCCUGAUGCAGCAACGCCGCGUGCGGGAUGACGGCCUUCGGGUUGUAAACCGCUUUCGCCUGUGACGAAGCGUGAGUGACGGUAAUGGGUAAAGAAGCACCGGCUAACUACGUGCCAGCAGCCGCGGUGAUACGUAGGGUGCGAGCGUUGUCCGGAUUUAUUGGGCGUAAAGGGCUCGUAGGUGGUUGAUCGCGUCGGAAGUGUAAUCUUGGGGCUUAACCCUGAGCGUGCUUUCGAUACGGGUUGACUUGAGGAAGGUAGGGGAGGAUGGAAUUCCUGGUGGAGCGGUGGAAUGCGCAGAUAUCAGGAGGAACACCAGUGGCGAAGGCGGUUCUCUGGGCCUUUCCUGACGCUGAGGAGCGAAAGCGUGGGGAGCGAACAGGCUUAGAUACCCUGGUAGUCCACGCUGUAAACGGUGGGUACUAGGUGUGGGGUCCAUUCCACGGGUUCCGUGCCGUAGCUAACGCUUUAAGUACCCCGCCUGGGGAGUACGGCCGCAAGGCUA
rnacentral:rRNA from 1 species